CAGCAGCCGCGGGAAUACGUAGGUGGCAAGCGUUGUCCGGGAUUAUUGGGCGUAAAGGGCUCGCAGGCGGUUUCUUAAGUCUGAUGUGAAAGCCCCCGGCUCAACCGGGGAGGGUCAUUGGAAACUGGGAAACUUGAGUGCAGAAGAGGAGAGUGGAAUUCCACGUGUAGCGGUGAAAUGCGUAGAGAUGUGGAGGAACACCAGUGGCGAAGGCGACUCUCUGGUCUGUAACUGACGCUGAGGUGCGAAAGCGUGGGGAGCGAACAGGAUUAGAUACCCCAGUAGUCCCUGUCUCUUAUAC
rnacentral:rRNA from 1 species